GGAAACCGUAGAGGAAAGUCCGGACUCCGCAGGGCAGUGAGCCAGGUAAUACCUGGGCGGGGUGACCCGACGGACAGUGCAACAGAGAGUAAACCGCCGAUGGCCCUCUAGGGGGAUCAGGUAAGGGUGAAACGGUGGGGUAAGAGCCCACCGCCGGACUGGUAACAGGACGGGCAUGGUAAACCCCUCACGGAGCAAGACCAAAUAGGCCGGCGUACUCCGCAAGGAGCGAGGAUUGGCCCGAUCGAGUCGGCGGGUAGGUUGCUUGAGGUUCGCAGUGAUGCGAAUCCCAGAGGAAUGGCGUCACACGACAGAAUCCGGCUUACCGGUCCACCUUGGUC
rnacentral:RNase_P_RNA from 1 species